UCACAAACUUCCUCUUUCAUUCGUCGUGUGUCGAGCAGUGAAGACGUAGUUGUCUCCUCACUGCCUAUCCCAAGAUGAGAGCUAAGUGGCGUAAGAAGCGUAUGCGAAGGCUGAAGCGUAAGCGCAGGAAGAUGCGUGCGAGGUCCAAGUAGAUCACUGGGACCCCAGUGCGUGUGUCCUCAUCUAAGUAUUAAGGACCAACACACGAAAAAAGCACAUUUUACCGCCGCCACUCGAGAGGGAGCCGAACGGCCUGGCCGCGUGGCCACUUUGAUGGGGAGCCACGUCCGAGCCCACCCGGGACUGGAGUCCUCUUCCGGAGGGAGCGGAUCAGCAAAGCAUCGACGGCAGCCGCAAAGUUCAGUUGGGGGGAGAGAGAGUUAAAUCUAGAAGUGGUGCAUUUAGUAGUUUGUAAAAGUGAUUCCCUAAAAAAUAAUCUAAUAAAAAACCGCCAAACGCACGCCUUUUCCCCGGGGCGCAGGUUCGCCCACGUUGAUGAGGGCGGCGGCAAGUGUCCCGGAGGUUCCGGCGAGGGCGUUGGUAGAAUGUGCAAAAAAUUAAA